rnacentral:rRNA from 1 species
GACGUACGCUGGCGGCGUGCCUAUACAUGCAAGUCGAACGAGAGCGACCGGUGCUUGCACUGGUCAAUCUAGUGGCGAACGGGUGAGUGACACGUGGGUAACCUGCCCAUCAGAGGGGGAUAACAUCCGGAAACGGAUGCUAAAACCGCAUAGGUCUUCGAACCGCAUGGUUUGAAGAGGAAAAGAGGCGCAAGCUUCUGCUGAUGGAUGGACCCGCGGUGCAUUAGCUAGUUGGUGAGGUAACGGCUCACCAAGGCCGUGAUGCAUAGCCGACCUGAGAGGGUGAUCGGCCACAUUGGGACUGAGACACGGCCCAAACUCCUACGGGAGGCAGCAGUAGGGAAUCUUCCGCAAUGGACGCAAGUCUGACGGAGCAACGCCGCGUGAGUGAAGAAGGUUUUCGGAUCGUAAAACUCUGUUGUUAGAGAAGAACAAGUGCUAGAGUAACUGUUAGCGCCUUGAACGGUAUCUAACCAGAAA